ensembl:snRNA U1 U1 spliceosomal RNA
AUACUUAUCUGGCAGGGGAGAUACCAUAUUCAUGAAGUUGGUUUCCAAGGGCCAGGCUUAUCCGUUGCACUCUGGAUGGGCUGACCCCUGUGAUUUGCCCGCACAUGGGAAACUUGACUGCAUAAUUUGUGCAGUGAGGGACUGCGUUCAUGCUUUCCCCGG